GCCCAGGUGGUGGAAUUGGUAUACACAACAGUUUGAGGGGCUGUGCCAGCAAUGGCGUGCGGGUUCAAAUCCCGCCCUGGGCA
rnacentral:tRNA from 1 species